rnacentral:lncRNA from 1 species
GAAGUGUGGUACAGCAAGCUUCCUCCCCUAAGCAUUAGAAGUUGGGCAGAUUUGAAGAAGACAUUCUUGAAUCAGUACCUCUCGCGAAGGGAAGGAGAGGCCCCAGUGCAAUGCCUGCAAGACAUGAGGCAAGCCCCUGGAGAGACGCUGAAAAGCUAUCUUGCCAGAUUUACGGACAAAAUCACACACUACGAACAGGUCACCGACAGAUAAGCCCUUCCAUGCCUGAAAGGUGACUUCAACAUGAACACUUUGUUCUGGAGGGAUGUGUGCAGCAAGAAUCCCUCCACCUAUGACGAAAUCGUGGAAAUGAUUAGAGUUGAAAUCGUGAGUAAAGAAAUAAUUGAUCACCGAAACUUUGCCGCGCAGGGACUCCCUCCUCCUGAGAGGUAGGUAGGUCGAGAACCCGUAGCACACCUUGUUACUCAACAAUAGAUUCAGGCAGGACACACAAUAGCUCCCACCCCCGGGCAGGCAUUGGCUUCCGCCACACUAAAUGCAGUGCCGAUAUUGGCAUAUGAAAAUGCUACUGGCAAAGCGAGGCCAUCAGGAAGAAACGAUAGCACGAAAAAGAAGAAGAAUCGAUCAAACAGGCCCUUGGAAGGAGCAAGGUUUUGCACUUUCCAUCAACUCUAUGGGCAUGACACCAACGAAUGCAGAGACGCUCCUCGACGUUCAGACCAGAGUGAGCCACAUCCCUUCAGGAGGAAUGAAUAUCCUCACAGAUUAGUCUCCCCAAACAUGGGAGAUCGAAGGCACAGAGAACAGUCACCCUGGAGAAGAGAAUCAAGGGACCAAGGGGAGUCCAUGCAAAGAGAUCAGGCCCCAUUUUCUGGGGGCCAAAUCAUCAGGAAAAUCGACACCAUCAUUGGGGGACCUCACAUCGAUGGCAACACCAGGAAUGCCCAAAGAAAUUAUACAAGGGAAGCAAAGGACCCCACCAAUGAUCACUUACAUUGUCAAUGAGUCCCAAGAGGCUAACAGAAUGGCCCCAAUAACCUUCUCCCAGGAAGAUGCGCAAGGAGUUCACCAUCCCCAUUGCGUCGCAUUGGUUGUGAGAGCCAUAGUAGCCAGAAACGGGCUCAAACGCAUGCUCGUUGACAAUGGCAGCUCGGUGAACAUAUUGUUCGGCUCCACCUUUGACAAAAUGCAAAUUGAGCAUGGGUUGAUCCCCAUGACCGACCCACUAUUCGGGUUUACUGGGGACAACAUCGUCCCACAUGGGCGGAUCACUCUGCCGGUCGAGAUGGGUUCGACACCCCUAGUGGCCCAACACUUCAUAGAAUUCUUAGUGGUAGACCAUAGAUCGGCCUAUCAUAGAGUAUUGGGCAGACCCGCCUUAAAAGAUUUUUGGGCCGUCACAUCCAUCCACUACUUGUGCAUGAAAUUCCCAACUGAACAUGGGAUUGCAACGAUCCGAGGCGAUUAGAUGGGCUCCAGGGCAUGCUACUUAAACUCCCUGCGAAAGUCGAAGCCCCAAACUGUUAAUGUAAUCCUAACUGAGGUUCCUACUGAAAUUGGUACAGACGUGGAAAUGCUCGACGCUCUUGAACAAGGGCAGACCUCUGAACAAGAGGAAGACGUCGACAUGGAAGAGGCCCCUGAACAAGGGCACACUUUUGAUGAGUUAGAUCCCCGAAUAAUUGACUCUGAACCAAACGCAACCAUAAUGGAAGAACUAAAAACUUUCUCCGCCAACCUAGAUGACCCCAGUCAGGUCUUGCAUAUAGGAAAGGCACUGUCCCCCGAAGCAAAAGAAGAGAUGAUAAGCUUCCUGAAAGAAACUUGGAUGUCUUCGCUUGGAAGCUUGAAGACAUGGUAGGUAUAGAUCCAAGGAUCAGUUGCCACCAUCUUAACAUCAACCCCUCUUGUGCCCUCCAUCGACAGAAGAGACGUGCCCUCAACCCGGAGAGGUACGAGGCAUUGAAAGAAUAAGUGAACAAACUUAGCCGUAGCAGUUUUAUAAGGGAAGCCAUCUACCCGAAGUGGAUAUCCAACCCGGUCCUGGUGAAAAAGCACAGCGGAAAGUUUAGGGUGUGCGUAGACUUCACAAACUUGAAUAAGGCGUGCCCUAAAGAUAGCUUCCCACUUCCAAGGAUAGAUCAACUUGUAGAUUCCACUGCUGGACACGAACUGCUGAGUUUCAUGGAUGCAUACUCAGGUUACAACCAGAUACCCCUGUUCCGACCUGAUGAGGAAGCUACGUCGUUUAUCAGCCAUGCAGUGAUUCGACUGUCCUUGUACUAGAACUCCAUGUAGAAUAGAAGAGAGUUAUUAGUUAUCCAAAUAGAGGUCAUGUCUACAUCAACAACUUAAUCCAUCUUAGACUAGACCUCAUAUCAAUCUGUAAUUCACUUGAUAUCGUGUCAAUAAAAUCUGCUUGUAUGCACCCUGUCAGCACAAUAAGUUCAAAUGUAUUUGAACCACAAUUAAUGAACAUAGUGACAGUCUUCAUAUCUGCAUCCAACGCACAUAUAGGAAUU